rnacentral:rRNA from 1 species
UACGUAGGGUGCGAGCGUUGUCCGGAAUUACUGGGCGUAAAGAGCUCGUAGGUGGUUUGUCGCGUUGUCCGUGAAAACUCACAGCUUAACUGUGGGCGUGCGGGCGAUACGGGCAGACUGGAGUACUGCAGGGGAGACUGGAAUUCCUGGUGUAGCGGUGGAAUGCGCAGAUAUCAGGAGGAAUACCGGUGGUGUAGACGGCUCUCUGGGCAGUAACUGACGCUGAGAAGCGAAAGCGUGGGGAGCGAACAGG